rnacentral:lncRNA from 1 species
UUUGAUCCAUGACAGUGCAUAUUCCACCGGCUGCUGCGUUCCAUCUCAUCAAAUACGGUCGUCUGUUUCUUUGCCAGUCCUGAUGGAGGAAAGACAUCUCAUUAUUAAUUGAAUUAAGGGGAGUAUUUCUGGAGCAAGGUACAGCAGAGCCCAGUUACCACCAGCUUCGGUACACUCUGCACUCCAAAGUCAGGUGUGAUUACAGCGUUCAGCGUCGAGGAAAUGGAGGUUCAAGGAGAAACAAGAGGGGUUGUGGGCGUGUGAAGAUGGAAACGAGCGCUGGGUCAUUAGUCUUUGAUGUUUUUUUUUUUUUCCCCUCCUCUGAUGUGACCCGUGACUAAUUCUUCUCCACACUCUUUGCAUGAAUUGUGGGUGUGUGCAGCACUUUUAUUAUCUUUGAAUAUAUUAAUAAAUCUAUCUAUCUAUUGC